UACGGGGGGGGCAAGCGUUGUUCGGAAUUACUGGGCGUAAAGGGCUCGUAGGCGGCCAACUAAGUCCGACGUGAAAUCCCAAAGCUUAACUUUGGAACUGCGUCGGAUACUGGAUGGCUUGAAUUCGGGAGAGGGAUGCAGAAUUCCAGGUGUAGCGGUGAAAUUCGUAGAUAUUGGGAAGAACACCGGUGGCGAAGGCGGCGAGCUGGUCCAUUACUGACGCUGAGGCGCGACAGCGUGGGGAGCAAACAGG
rnacentral:rRNA from 1 species